UCAUUCUACAGGAUCGAAUCAGU
rnacentral:miRNA from 1 species